GUAGAUAUAGUUUAAUUUAAAAAUAUCGGACUGUGAAUCCGAAGAUAGAGACUCACCCACCUCUUAUCU
rnacentral:tRNA from 1 species